UACGUAGGGGUGCAAGCGUUUGUCCGGAAUUAUUGGGCGUAAAGAGCUCGUAGGCGGUCUGUCGCGUCGGCUGUGAAAACCCGGGGCUCAACCCCGGGCCUGCAGUCGAUACGGGCAGACUAGAGUGCGGUAGGGGAGACUGGAAUUCCGGGUGUAGUGGUGAAAUGCGUAGAGAUCCGGAAGAACACCGGUGGCGAAGGCGGUUAGCUGGGCGAGUUGCU
rnacentral:rRNA from 1 species